CGAAUGCUGACAUAAGUAACGAUAAAGCGGGUGAAAAGCCCGCUCGCCGGAAGACCAAGGGUUCCUGUCCAACGUUAAUCGGGGCAGGGUGAGUCGACCCCUAAGGCGAGGCCGAAAGGCGUAGUCGAUGGGAAACAGGUUAAUAUUCCUGUACUUGGUGUUACUGCGAAGGGGGGACGGAGAAGGCUAUGUUGGCCGGGCGACGGUUGUCCCGGUUUAAGCGUGUAGGCUGGUUUUCCAGGCAAAUCCGGAAAAUCAAGGCUGAGGCGUGAUGACGAGG
rnacentral:rRNA from 1 species